GACGUAGGGCGCAAGCGUUGUCCGGAAUUAUUGGGCGUAAAGAGCUCGUAGGUGGUUUGUUGCGUCCGCUGUGAAAACCCAAGGCUUAACCUUGGGCUUGCAGUGGAUACGGGCAGACUAGAGGUAGGUAGGGGAGAAUGGAAUUCCCGGUGUAGCGGUGAAAUGCGCAGAUAUCGGGAGGAACACCGGUGGCGAAGGCGGUUCUCUGGGCAUUACCUGACACUGAGGAGCGAAAGCGUGGGGAGCGAACAGG
rnacentral:rRNA from 1 species